rnacentral:rRNA from 1 species
GAUGAACGCUGGCGGCGUGCCUAAUACAUGCAAGUCGAGCGAACAGACGAGGAGCUUGCUCCUCUGACGUUAGCGGCGGACGGGUGAGUAACACGUGGAUAACCUACCUAUAAGACUGGGAUAACUUCGGGAAACCGGAGCUAAUACCGGAUAAUAUAUUGAACCGCAUGGUUCAAUAGUGAAAGACGGUUUUGCUGUCACUUAUAGAUGGAUCCGCGCCGCAUUAGCUAGUUGGUAAGGUAACGGCUUACCAAGGCAACGAUGCGUAGCCGACCUGAGAGGGUGAUCGGCCACACUGGAACUGAGACGCGGUCGAGACUCCUACGGGAGGCAGCAGUAGGGAAUCUUCCGCAAUGGGCGAAAGCCUGACGGAGCAACGCCGCGUGAGUGAUGAAGGUCUUCGGAUCGUAAAACUCUGUUAUUAGGGAAGAACAAAUGUGUAAGUAACUAUGCACGUCUUGACGGUACCUAAUCAGAAAGCCACGGCUAACUACGUG